UUUGACCUCAAAUCAGGUAGGACUACCCGCUGAACUUAAGCAUAUCAAUAAGCGGAGGAAAAGAAACCAACAGGGAUUGCCUCAGUAGCGGCGAGUGAAGCGGCAAAAGCUCAAAUUUGAAAUCUGGCGUCUUUGGCGUCCGAGUUGUAAUUUGAAGAAGGUAUCUUUGGGCCCGGCUCUUGUCUAUGUUCCUUGGAACAGGACGUCACAAAGGGUGAGAAUCCCGUGCGAUGAGAUGACCCGGGUCUGUGUAAAGUUCCUUC
rnacentral:rRNA from 1 species